rnacentral:rRNA from 1 species
UACGAAGGGGGCUAGCGUUGCUCGGAAUGACUGGGCGUAAAGGGCGCGUAGGCGGCUCAUACAGUCAGAUGUGAAAUUCCUGGGCUUAACCUGGGGGCUGCAUUUGAUACGUGUGGGCUUGAGUGGGGAAGAGGGUCGUGGAAUUCCCAGUGUAGAGGUGAAAUUCGUAGAUAUUGGGAAGAACACCGGUGGCGAAGGCGGCGACCUGGUCCUUGACUGACGCUGAGGCGCGAAAGCGUGGGGAGCGAACAGG